rnacentral:misc_RNA from 1 species
UCACGGCCUGCCUAUAGAGGAAAUGAUGAGGUUGCUUCCACUAGGAAUAACAGUUCCAUAUUAUCAGCUGAGCUUGAAUUUAGAAGGUUGUCUGUUCAGAACAGUCAAAACAAUAAUAGAGAAACAAGUCAAUGGGAGGGGCACAGUUUGCAGAGUGACGACUUAAAUAGGACACAAGCAUAUGGAGAUGAUAUUAUUGUGGAAAGUGAUCACACAAGAAAUUUGCAAGCUCAGUCAAUAGGAACCAAUAUUAAAUUGAAGGAGCCAGAAAAUCCAACUUCUUCAGGGAAUCUAGGUCCAAGUCAGGUUGAUCCUGUGUUUGAUGAUGUUGGUGAUUGUGAGAUUCCAUGGGAAGAUCUUGUCAUUGGCGAGAGGAUUGGUCUUGGUUCCUAUGGAGAGGUUUACCAUG